rnacentral:rRNA from 1 species
CCUACGGGAGGCAGCAGUAAGGAAUAUUGGUCAAUGGAGGCAACUCUGAACCAGCCAUGCCGCGUGCAGGAAGAAGGCCCUAUGGGUCGUAAACUGCUUUUGCACCAGAGAAAACCCGAGUACGUGUACUCGGUUGAUAGUAUGGUAAGAAUAAGCAUCGGCUAACUUCGUGCCAGCAGCCGCGGUAAGACGAAGGAUGCAAGCGUUAUCCGGAUUCAUUGGGUUUAAAGGGUGCGUAGGCGGACUGAUAAGUCAGUGGUGAAAUCUCUCGGCUUAACCGAGAAACUGCCAUUGAUACUGUUAGUCUAGAGUAUAGAUGACGUUGGCGGAAUAUGACAUGUAGUGGUGAAAUACUUAGAUAUGUCAUAGAACACCGAUUGCGAAGGCAGCUAACGAAACUAUAACUGACGCUGAGGCACGAAAGUGCGGGGAUCAAACAGGAUUAGAUACCCUGGUAGUCCGCACCGUAAACGAUGAUUACUCGUUGUUGGCAAAUAUNUACGUCAGCGACCGACGACGAAGACGAGAAGUAAGUACCUAACCGUACGGGUAGGGUUACGGACCGGGCCGGACCGGGUUACGGUAACGUUAACCGAAACGGAAAGUUAGGUUACGGGACGGUUGGAGGACGACGCCGACGGACGACGACGACGGGAGGAGGAGG